CUGACGAGUGGCGGACGGGUGAGUAAUGCUUGGGAAUCUGGCUUAUGGAGGGGGAUAACUACGGGAAACUGUAGCUAAUACCGCGUAGUAUCGGAAGAUGAAAGUGCGGGACCGUAAGGCCGCAUGCCAUGAGAUGAGCCCAAGUGGGAUUAGGUAGUUGGUGGGGUAAAGGCCUACCAAGCCUGCGAUCUCUAGCUGGUCUGAGAGGAUGGCCAGCCACACUGGAACUGAGACACGGUCCAGACUCCUACGGGAGGCAGCAGUGGGGAAUAUUGCGCAAUGGGGGGAACCCUGACGCAGCCAUGCCGCGUGAAUGAAGAAGGCCUUCGGGUUGUAAAGUUCUUUCGGUAUUGAGGAAGGAGUGUAUGUUAAUAGCAUACAUUAUUGACGUUAAAUACAGAAGAAGCACCGGCUAACUCCGUGCCAGCAGCCGCGGUAAUACGGAGGGUGCGAGCGUUAAUCGGAAUAACUGGGCGUAAAGGGCACGCAGGCGGUUAUUUAAGUGAGGUGUGAAAGCCCCGGGCUUAACCUGGGAAUUGCAUUUCAGACUGGGUAACUAGAGUACUUUAGGGAGGGGUAGAAUUCCACGUGUAGCGGU
rnacentral:rRNA from 1 species